rnacentral:rRNA from 1 species
CGAACGGAAAGGCCCUUUAAAUGCAAGGGGUACUCGAGUGGCGAACGGGUGAGUAACACGUGGGUGAUCUGCCUUGCACUUCGGGAUAAUCCCGGGAAACUGGGUCUAAUACCGGAUAGGACCAUGCUUUAGUGUGUGUGGUGGAAAGUUUUUUCGGUGCAAGAUGAGCCCGCGGCCUAUCAGCUUGUUGGUGGGGUAAUGGCCUACCAAGGCGACGACGGGUAGCCGGCCUGAGAGGGUGUACGGCCACAUUGGGACUGAGACACGGCCCAGACUCCUACGGGAGGCAGCAGUGGGGAAUAUUGCACAAUGGGCGCAAGCCUGAUGCAGCGACGCCGCGUGGGGGAUGACGGCCUUCGGGUUGUAAACUCCUUUCGCUAGGGAAGAAGCCACUGUGUGGUGACGGUACCUGGAUAAGAAGCACCGGCUAACUACGUGCCAGCAGCCGCGGUAAUACGUACGGUGCGAGCGUUGUCCGGAAUUACUGGGCGUAAAGAGCUCGUAGGUGGUUUGUCGCGUCGUCUGUGAAAUCCCGGGGCUUAACUUUAGGGCGUGCAGGCGAUACGGGCAUAACUUGAGUGCUGCCCUUAGAGACUGUAAUUCUGUGGUGGAGGGGUGAAAUGCACAUAUGUCGGGAGGAACUCGGAUGGGGAAGGCUUGUGUCUCGUCAAGACUGUCACUGAGGAGAGAAAGCAUGGGUAGCGAACACGAUUAGAUACCCUGGUAGUCCACACCCUAAACGGGGGGCGCUAGAGUGUGGGGGUUUUAUAUAUGAUUCCCGUGCCGUAGAUAACGCAUUAAGCGCCCCGCCUGGGGAGUACGGCCGCAAGGCUAUAACUCAAAGGAAUUGACGGGGGCCCGCACAAGCGCGCGGAGCAUGUGGAUUAAUUUGAUGCAACGCGAAGAACCUUACCUGGGCUUGACAUACACCGGAUCGGUGCAGAGAUGUAGUUUCCCUUGUGGCUGGUGUACAAGUGGUGCAUGGUUGUUGUCAGCUCGUGUCGUGAGAUGUUGGGUUAAGUUCCGCAACGAGCGCAACCCUUGUCUUGUGUUGCCAGCCCGUUAUGGUGGGGACUCGCGAGAGACUGCCGGGGUUAACUUGGAGGAAGGUGGGGAAGACGUCAAAUCAUCAUGCCCCUUAUGUCCAGGGCUUCACACAUGCUUCAAUGGUUGGUACAAUGGGUUGCGAUACCGUGAGGUGGAGCUAAUCCCUUAAAACCGGUUUCAGUUUGGAUUGGAGUUUGCAACUCGACUCCAUGAAAUCGGAGUCGCUUGUAAAGGGANAUCUCCACCCCUCCCNNNAUNCNUUUCC